AACGAACGCUGGCGGCAUGCCUAACACAUGCAAGUCGAACGAGACCUUCGGGUCUAGUGGCGCACGGGUGCGUAACGCGUGGGAACCUGCCCUUAGGUUCGGAAUAACUCCCCGAAAGGGGUGCUAAUACCGGAUAAUGUCCUCGGACCAAAGAUUUAUCGCCUUUGGAUGGGCCCGCGUUGGAUUAGCCAGUUGGUAGGGUAAAAGCCUACCAAGGCGACGAUCCAUAGCUGGUCUGAGAGGAUGAUCAGCCACACUGGGACUGAGACACGGCCCAGACUCCUACGGGAGGCAGCAGUGGGGAAUAUUGGACAAUGGGCGAAAGCCUGAUCCAGCAAUGCCGCGUGAGUGAUGAAGGCCUUAGGGUUGUAAAGCUCUUUUACCCGGGAUGAUAAUGACAGUACCGGGAGAAUAAGCUCCGGCUAACUCCGUG
rnacentral:rRNA from 1 species